ensembl:lncRNA
CCGCGGUCCCGCCUCGCGCCUCCCAACCUUUCCCCCAGUUCGAGCGCGCCGCUGGGUUCACCGGGUUUACUCUGACACCGCUGACUCCGCGGCCACGCCCCCCGACAGCCACGCACCCCGCCGCGGGCCAAUCGCGUGACGCUCACGUAGCGAUCACGCACCGCCUCGCCCGUGAUUGGCCGCGGCCCGCUACACCUUUGACUUUGAUUGGCUGCGUGUUACCACCCGCCAGACCGCUCUGAAUUUCGUUUCUGUGUUUUUUGUUUUUUUUCCGGUGCUCUCAGCUGAAGCCAGUCUGCUGGCAGCGGCUCAGCGCUCCGACUGAAGCUCCAGUAGCUGUACACGGAGUUGCCGCCGACCCUUUCUCCACUCCUCCGUCCGCUCUUUCUCUUCGUCAACUCAGCCUCGCUGCUGUCAGAUGCAGCUCAGCCGGAGGUGGGAAAACUGUGACAUCAUUGGUCAUUAGAUGGGAGGUGUUUGGCUUUAUCCGUGGAGUAAGAGGAAGAAAGAAAGAAAAAGAAGCUGGGCUGUGAGGCAGACGCUCAACAGUUUAUAGGAUAGUGAGCACUAACAGUGCGUUUAAGUCAUAUGGGAGAAAGAAGACGGUCCACUGCCUGCUUGCCAUCACCCUCAAUUAGCUUCCAGAAGUUGCCUGUGUAGCUAAAGCCCAACAGAAACUUCGAUGAGACCAGAAGAAGCAGCUGGUUGUGGCUGAACUACCCUCUGCCCAUGUCUCUACCCAUGCCCCUCUUUAGGUUUCCAGAAGCAGUCCAGUCAGAUGAAAGUGGGCUUUGAUUGGAGCAUGACUGAUAUACCUGUGAAGCUGAUAUUGGCUAUUUCCCAAUAUAUCAUUAUCAGAAUGUAUAACAGCCGAAAAAUAAAUCAAAGUAAGGAAGACACGGGAGAAACGAUUACUUGUCCACGAGAGGACACUCUGCAACUUCCCUGUUGGCAACAUAUGUUUGGAAACUCCCACCAAAUUCAGUCUUUAAGUCUGAUGUUAUUAGCCAUUUCCGGGUCCAAACUUUGCUUCAGGUCCCAAAGUCAAAUGAACACUGUGGCAUAACUGAGAGUUAAAAACUGUCUAAAUUCUUUCAUGUUCAAUAAAAUGGUCAGUGUGGUUUCUUUACCAGGUGUAACAAUUACAUUUAACAUCCGGG